rnacentral:rRNA from 1 species
AGCGGCGGAUGGGUGAGUAACACGUGGGGAACCUGCCCCUAAGUCUGGGAUACCAUUUGGAAACGGGUGCUAAUACCGGAUAAUAAAGCAGAUCGCAUGAUCAGCUUUUGAAAGGCGGCGUAAGCUGUCGCUAAGGGAUGGCCCCGCGGUGCAUUAGCUAGUUGGUAAGGUAACGGCUUACCAAGGCGACGAUGCAUAGCCGAGUUGAGAGACUGAUCGGCCACAUUGGGACUGAGACACGGCCCAAACUCCUACGGGAGGCAGCAGUAGGGAAUCUUCCACAAUGGACGCAAGUCUGAUGGAGCAACGCCGCGUGAGUGAAGAAGGUUUUCGGAUCGUAAAGCUCUGUUGUUGGUGAAGAAGGAUAGAGGUAGUAACUGGCCUUUAUUUGACGGUAAUCAGCCAGAAAGUCACGGCUAACUACGUGCCAGCAGCCGCGGUAAUACGUAGGUGGCAAGCGUUGUCCGGAUUUAUUGGGCGUAAAGCGAGCGCAGGCGGAAAAAUAAGUCUAAUGUGAAAGCCCUCGGCUUAACCGAGGAACUGCAUCGGAAACUGUUUUUCUUGAGUGCAGAAGAGGAGAGUGGAACUCCAUGUGUAGCGGUGGAAUGCGUAGAUAUAUGGAAGAACACCAGUGGCGAAGGCGGCUCUCUGGUCUGCAACUGACGCUGAGGCUCGAAAGCAUGGGUAGCGAACAGGAUUAGAUACCCUGGUAGUCCAUGCCGUAAACGAUGAGUGCUAAGUGU